GUAGGCAACCUGCCUUGCACAGAGGGAUAACACCGGGAAACUGGUGCUAAUACCACACGAUAUCAUAACAAGGCAUCUUGAAAUGAUCAAAGGAGAAAUCCGGUGCAAGAUGGGCCUGCGUCCGAUUAGUUAGUUGGUGAGGUAACGGCUCACCAAGGCGACGAUCGGUAGCCGAACUGAGAGGUUGAUCGGCCACAUUGGGACUGAGACACGGCCCAGACUCCUACGGGAGGCAGCAGUGGGGAAUAUUGCGCAACGGGGGGAACCCUGACGCAGCAACGCCGCGUGAAGGAAGAAGGCCUUCGGGUUGUAAACUUUUUUGAUUGGGGAAGAAAAAAAUGACGGUACCCAAGGAACAAGCCACGGCUAACUACGUGCCAGCAGCCGCGGUAAUACGUAGGUGGCGAGCGUUGUCCGGAAUUACUGGGUGUAAAGGGCGUGUAGGCGGGAUUGUAAGUCAGAUGUGAAAUUCCAGGGCUUAACUCUGGAGGUGCAUCUGAAACUAUAAUUCUUGAGUGCUGGAGAGGAAAGCGGAAUUCCUAGUGUAGCGGUGAAAUGCGUAGAUAUUAGGAAGAACACCAGUGGCGAAGGCGGCUUUCUGGACAGUAACUGACGCUGAGGCGCGAAAGCGUGGGGAGCAAACAGGAUUAGAUACCCUGGUAGUCCACGCUGUAAACGAUGGAUACUAGGUGUAGGAGGUAUCGACCCCUUCUGUGCCGGAGUUAACACAAUAAGUAUCCCACCUGGGGAGUACGGCCGCAAGGCUGAAACUCAAAGGAAUUGACGGGGGCCCGCACAAGCAGUGGAGUAUGUGGUUUAAUUCGAAGCAACGCGAAGAACCUUACCAGGGCUUGACAUCCCUCGGAUAACAUAGAGAUAUGUUAGUCCUUCGGGACGAGGAGACAGGUGGUGCAUGGUUGUCGUCAGCUCGUGUCGUGAGAUGUUGGGUUAAGUCCCCGCAACGAGCGCACCCCCUAUGGUUAGUGGCCAUCAUUAAGUAGGGCACUCUAACGAGACGGCCGGUGACAAAUCGGAGGAAGGUGGGGAGGACGUCAAAUCAUCAUUCCCCUUAUCUCGUGGGCUACACACGUUUUACAAGGGUCACUUCAAAGGGAAGCAAUACCGCAAGGAGGAGCAUAAUCCCCAAAGG
rnacentral:rRNA from 1 species